GAUGAACGCUAGCGGGAGGCUUAACACAUGCAAGUCGAGGGGCAGCAUAGGGUAGCAAUACUCUGAUGGCGACCGGCAAACGGGUGAGUAACGCGUAUGCAACCUACCCUGUACAGGGGGAUAACCCGGAGAAAUUCGGACUAAUAUCCCGUAAUAAUAUCCGGAGGCAUCUUUGGAUAUUUAAAGUUCCGACGGUACGGGAUGGGCAUGCGUAACAUUAACUGGUUGGUAAGGUAACGGCUUACCAAGGCUAUGAUGUUUAGGGGUCCUGAGAGGGUGGUCCCCCACACUGGUACUGAGACACGGACCAGACUCCUACGGGAGGCAGCAGUGAGGAAUAUUGGUCAAUGGGCGCAAGCCUGAACCAGCCAUCCCGCGUGCAGGAAGACGGCCCUAUGGGUUGUAAACUGCUUUUCCAGGGAGAGAAACUUACGCACGUGUUGCGUGACUGACGGUACCCUGGGAAUAAGCAUCGGCUAACUCCGUGCCAGCAGCCGCGGUAAAACUCUACUG
rnacentral:rRNA from 1 species